rnacentral:lncRNA from 15 species
ACUAUCACAAAUGUGUUCAGGGUAUCGAUCCCUUUCCGUGUGGAUUGAGGCGCUGUGAGAUUUGUUUUCACAAGCGUUAAACAACCUUCCUGUCCGGGCGAUGAAGAGUUGAUUCAGUGAACUUGCUGGGCCGUGUUGUCAUGUUCUCCGUGUACAGGUGACUCAUCUUUUCAGGGAGAGGUGAGAUCGAUGCUCUUCUUAAAGCUCUGGCUCCACACGGAUCCAGGGAAGUACCCACGAUACGUAAGCUGUCCGAAGACGGGUACAACAACGGAGCCUUCAUCAGAGUACGGAUGGGGAUCGUCGAUUGUUCGAUUCCUCACCUGGAAGAGAAAAGACUCCUCGUUCCUCCUUCGACCAAAAUUAAAGACUGCACUGUGACCUCUGGAGGUUUCUACACUCACACAGACGCAGACUAAAGGCGAGUGCAAUCGGUGUGUGAAAUGCAGGUCAGGUGAGUCAUCUUCUUCUCUGACAGCGCUGUCUGUUUUUUCACACUUGAAUGGAAAAAUACACUGUGUGUGUGUGUGUGUGUGUGUACAUGACAAAGACACGCGCACACACACACACACACACACACACACACACACACAGGCUGAUUCAUAUGCUUUUAUGACCUCCCUGACGGCAGCGCACAAAGCUGUGCUGAAAAGGCCCAAGGACAUGCAGGAGUGCACAUGCUCUCUCUCUCUCUCUCUCUCUCUCUCUCACACACACACACACACACACACACACACACACACACACACACACACANNNNNNNNNNNNNNNNNNNNGACACACACACACACACACUAGAUUUUCCCUCCCUUUUUUUAUCUCUAUCACAGAAAUGAUGGUAUCACAAGUCUUUCUACACUCGGCUUCUCACAAACACACAAUUUCUCUCUCUCAUUCACUAAGUUCCUCACACACACACACACACACGCUCACUCUCACACACACACACACACACACACACACACUAGCUGAAUUGCUGGUGCUAUAAAAAGACAUCAGUGUUUAACUCGUCCUUGAAAC